CGAAAAUGUGUUUUGCAUGUAUGGUAUCAAUCUUAAGACUGAGGUUGGCUAUCAACUGUCUCCGAGUGGAAAGCCGUACCCAAUUAUCAAGGAUGUCAUCUAUGAAACAGAUGGAGGUUCGUUGCAGACAAGGUCAGGAUUAGAUGUCGAUGGAAAAGGUGGUGUUGCGAGUGGUGAUUCCACAGUACCAUACCAAAAAG